GUGCCUGCUUUGGCAACACAUAUACUAAAACUGGAAUGAUACAGAAAAGAUUAGUAUGGCCCCUGUGCAAGGAUGACACACAAAUUCAUGAAGCAUUCUGUGUUUUU
rnacentral:snRNA from 1 species